UAGGAAGCAAAUAAGGGCGUAUGGGGGAUGCCUUGGCUCUCAGAGACGAUGAAGGACGUGGUAAGCUGCGAAAAGCUACGGGGAAGUGCAAACGACUGUUGAUCCGUAGAUGUCCGAAUGGGGGAACCCACUAUGUUGAAGACAUAGGACCUUGAAAGAGGAGAUAACCCGGAGAACUGAAACAUCUAAGUACCCGGAGGAAAAGAGAACAAAAGUUAUUCCGUGAGUAGUGGCGAGCGAAAGCGGAUGAGCCAUAAAGUAUAUACAAAAUUGAGUAGAAUUAGUUUGGAAAACUAAACCGAAGGAGGUGAUAGUCCUGUAGACGAAGAUUUGAAUAUAUUAAAAGAGUAGGGCGGAGCCGGUGAAACUCUGUCUGAAAGUGCCAGCACCAUCUGGCAAGGCUAAAUACUACUGAGAGACCGAUAGUGAACUAGUACUGUAAAGGAAAGGUGAAAAG
rnacentral:rRNA from 1 species